rnacentral:rRNA from 1 species
CACACGACUCUCGGCAACGGAUAUCUCGGCUCUCGCAUCGAUGAAGAACGUAGCAAAAUGCGAUACCUGGUGUGAAUUGCAGAAUCCCGCGAACCAUCGAGUUUUUGAACGCAAGUUGCGCCCGAGACCUUCUGGUCGAGGGCACGUCUGCCUGGGCGUCACG